AAUUUUAUCAAAAAUUAAAUUUAUUGCCCUAUUUAAAUAUUUUUUACAUUAACAAUGAAACAUUUCAACAUGUUCAAGUUAAAUUAGAUCAGGAUCAAACGAUAAACCGUCACCUGAAAUCAGAAUUUGAAAUAACUCCUAAAAUAAGGAAAACAUACAAAUCUAAUUUAAAAUAUAUAUUCAUUAUGUUUAACUAAAGUAGAAAAACAUACAAAAAGUAGUUAAAUUGCAUUAAAUUAUUAAAUUUUACUAGCGUACUCUAAAGUACUCUAUCGUACUAGCAUACUCUGUUUAGUAGGACCGUCAUAACAGUAUUUCAAUUGAGGUUCAAAAUAAUUCCUGAAUCUUCCCUUCCGAUUCGGGCAUUUUAACACGAGACUGGAGCUGAAUUUUUUUACGAGAUGAAAAACAAUAUGUAAACUUCCUGUACUGACUAGAUUCAUUGUAAUUUAGGGCUUGCUGAUUUUUCUAUAUACUGUAUGAGUGGGGAGUGAUUAGGUCCUGGACUUGAUUUUCAAGCACCUGCUCGACUUCGACCGAAACAAACUUGCGUGCCUUGCUGGAUGGCUAUGUAUUUUUGGGUACUAAAAUCUUUAUAAAGAAUUGUUUUACAAGAUCUGAAAAGGAAACUUCUCAAAAGCUUGUUUUCAAUUAAUACCACCUACUCAAAGUUGUGCAUUUUUGGUAAGAAUAUAUAGCAAAAUUUAAUACUGUUGUGCAACCCAAAGCACAUUUCUGUCACUAUGGGAUGCAGAAUUAAGUCACUAAAUGUAGAACCGAACCGGAACGGAUAUAUGAAAUUCCGAAUUGUUUGUUUUUUUCAAAGACGUAUUUCUCCUAAACCUACGCGCGCGGGUGACGUUAAACGUAGAAUUAAUUUUAAACAGCCUAGUUUUAAUAUAUUUGAAGCAUUAUGAGCACUUUCUUUCCACUGAUUAGUAUACAUAUAUAUACUUGUAUAUAUAUUUAUGAUAUUGUACUGGAGACCAUUAAUGAACUUGCUGUAGAGAAAUCAUCUAUUUGCUGGGUACUAUAGAAUAAUGUGCCAUAAUUACAUACAUGUAUACAUCAUUCUUUAAUACAGAAACAAUCAUUAGUUUGGAAAACAGAGAAUUUAGAUUAGAAUGUGUUAGAAAUACCUUUUGUGAUGAUUUUUUUAAAUUCAUUUUGUUUGUUUUGUUUUUUAAUUUUUUUGCUAGCACGGUGCCUGCCAAUGUCAUGUAUCCACUUUCUUUGAUGAAUUCCUGUUGACAAAUUCUGAACAAUUGUAUUAAACACAACAGCAUUUUCAGGAUUAUAUAUUCUCAUUAUAUACAUGUACCGAUACAUAUGUUUGUUAUAUUCUGCUCGAAGAACACAAUGCAUAUUUAGUUUGUUCUUACAUGAAGUUUAUACAGUUUGUUAUGAAAGCAUCUGUCAUACAUGACCUUUAAAUUCCCUUCAUGGGUCACUGAAUAUGGGUUUUGACUGAAGAUUCAGAUCCUGUUUUUGUUAAUUUCUCUUCUUUGACCAUGGAUCUGAAAUUGUCUGUGAUGGUCAGACAGGUUUGAUUGCCAGUGGCCAGAUAACUAGGUUGGUAAUGCACCUGACCAGUGAUUCAGGAGGCCCUGGUUCAAAUCCUGAUCUGGUCCGUCACACCUGACCGAUGAUUCAGGAGGUCCUGGUUCAAAUCCUGAUCUGACACGUCACACCUGACUAGUGAUUCAGGAGGCCCUGUCACAUUUUUCCUCCUCAUCGGUUACAGCUUAUUUAACUAAGGUCUGAUGACAUACUAUUCAAACAUCUUUUGGGGGGGGGGGGGUCUUUGCAUUAAUUUACCCGAAAUAUUUAUUAUUACUUUUUUGAUUUCUAAACAUUCCAGAAUGUCUCAAAAAUAUAUGUAUGAAAAAUAUUGAUAUCAAUCGUUGUGAUUUAUAGUAAGAUUUUAAAGGAGAAAUCCUCCUCUGGAGUCGUGCACAAGUUGCUGGUUACGUUUUUCUCCAUUUCUAGAGGAAACUUGUAAAAGCAAUAUUUUAUUCACAAAGUCUUGAGAAAAAUAUAUAAUUGAGGAACCUGUUGUCAAACCUUAAAUCAAUUACACUAGUACAUGUACUUUAAAUUUAUGAAGUAAAUAUAUUCAACAUCCCCAAAAUUUUAUGAAGUAAUCUACCAAGAAUACUGUAGGCAUUAAAAUGAAUUUGUUGCAUGUCCUUCGUAUAGUUUUGUUCAUGGAAAGAUGAUAUUUGUGCUAAAUUAUGUUUAAACAUUUUUUUCUGCUAACUUUGGUUAUCUUUGUUUCAAAACCCUUCCUUUGGCUCAUAUGCAUGAUUGUAUGCCUCUUGAAUGAAUUUGUAUGCAAGGGUGCAAGAGCCUGAUAAAGGUACAGAUUUUGGUGUGGUUUGUUAUAUGAUAUUGGCAUGUCCCUUGUUGAUUAUAAUUUAAUACUUAAUGUUAGAGUUGAUCAUUAAUUAAUUAUUAAUAAUAAAGUUAUAAUUUCAAUUAUCA